rnacentral:rRNA from 1 species
ACAUGCAAGUCGAACGAAGUAGCAAUACUUAGUGGCAGACGGGUGAGUAACAUGUAGGUAUCUUCCCUUUGGUGAGGAAUAACACGAGGAAACUUGUGCUAAUACCUCAUAAGUCUUUACGGAGAAAGCUUUAUGCGCCAUAGGAUGAGCCUGCAUUUGAUUAGUUUGUUGGUGGGGUAAUGGCCUACCAAGACUUUGAUCAAUAGCUGAUCUGAGAGGAUGAUCAGCCACAUUGGGACUGAGACACGGCCCAAACUCCUACGGGAGGCAGCAGUAGGGAAUAUUGCACAAUGGAGGAAACUCUGAUGCAGCGAUGCCGCGUGAGUGAAGAAGGCCUUUGGGUUGUAAAGCUCUUUCGUCGGGGAAGAAAAUGACUGUACCCGAAUAAGAAGGUCCGGCUAACUUCGUGCCAGCAGCCGCGGUAAUACGAAGGGACCUAGCGUAGUUCGGAAUUACUGGGCUUAAAGAGUUCGUAGGUGGUUAAAAAAGUUGGUGGUGAAAUCCCAGAGCUUAACUCUGGAACUGCCAUCAAAACUUUUUAGCUAGAGUAUGAUAGAGGAAAGCAGAAUUUCUAGUGUAGAGGUGAAAUUCGUAGAUAUUAGAAAGAAUACCAAUUGCGAAGGCAGCUUUCUGGAUCAUUACUGACACUGAGGAACGAAAGCAUGGGUAGCGAAGAGGAUUAGAUACCCUCGUAGUCCAUGCCGUAAACGAUGUGUGUUAGACGUUGGAAAUUUAUUUUCAGUGUCGCAGCGAAAGCAUUAAACACACCGCCUGGGGAG